GACGAACGCUGGCGGCGUGCUUAACACAUGCAAGUCGAACGAAGUGGCGAACGGGUGAGUAACGCGUAAUCAACCUGCCCUUCAGAGGGGGACAACAGUUGGAAACGACUGCUAAUAACCCAUACUGAAGGAGGGGAUGGCGUGUGAUUAGCUAGUUGGAGGGGUAACGGCCCACCAAGGCGAAGAUCAGUAGCCGGUUCGGGAGGAUGAACGGCUACAUUGGGACUGGGCCACGGCCCAGACUCCUACGGGGGGCAGCAGGAGGGAAUCUUCCGCAAUGGACGAAAGUCUGACGGAGCAACGCCGCGUGAGUGAUGACGGCCUUCGGGUUGUAAAGCUCUGUUAAGCGGGACGCGGUACCGGAAUAGAAAGCCACGGCUAACUACGUGCCAGCCGCCGCGGUAAUAC
rnacentral:rRNA from 1 species